rnacentral:rRNA from 1 species
GUCGAGCGGAACGAUGAUAGCUUGCUAUCAGGCGUCGAGCGGCGGACGGGUGAGUAAUACUUAGGAAUCUACCUAGUAGUGGGGGAUAGCACGGGGAAACUCGUAUUAAUACCGCAUACGACCUACGGGAGAAAGGGGGCAGUUUACUGCUCUCGCUAUUAGAUGAGCCUAAGUCGGAUUAGCUAGAUGGUGGGGUAAAGGCCUACCAUGGCGACGAUCUGUAGCUGGUCUGAGAGGAUGAUCAGCCACACCGGGACUGAGACACGGCCCGGACUCCUACGGGAGGCAGCAGUGGGGAAUAUUGGACAAUGGGGGAAACCCUGAUCCAGCCAUGCCGCGUGUGUGAAGAAGGCCUUUUGGUUGUAAAGCACUUUAAGCAGUGAAGAAGACUCCUCGGUUAAUACCCGUGGACGAUGACAUUAGCUGCAGAAUAAGCACCGGCUAACUCUGUGCCAGCAGCCGCGGUAAUACAGAGGGUGCAAGCGUUAAUCGGAAUUACUGGGCGUAAAGGGAGCGUAGGUGGCUCGAUAAGUCAGAUGUGAAAUCCCCGGGCUCAACCUGGGAACUGCAUCUGAUACUGUUGAGCUAGAGUAUGUGAGAGGAAGGUAGAAUUCCAGGUGUAGCGGUGAAAUGCGUAGAGAUCUGGAGGAAUACCGAUGGCGAAGGCAGCCUUCUGGCAUAAUACUGACACUGAGGCUCGAAAGCGUGGGUAGCAAACAGGAUUAGAUACCCUGGUAGUCCACGCCGUAAACGAUGUCUACUAGUCGUUGGGUCCCUUGAGGACUUAGUGACGCAGCUAACGCAAUAAGUAGACCGCCUGGGGAGUACGGCCGCAAGGUUAAAACUCAAUGAAUUGACGGGGGCCCGCACAAGCGGUGGAGCAUGUGGUUUAAUUCGAUGCAACGCGAAGAACCUUACCUGGUCUUGACAUAUCUAGAAUCCUGCAGAGAUGCGGGAGUGCCUUCGGGAAUUAGAAUACAGGUGCUGCAUGGCUGUCGUCAGCUCGUGUCGUGAGAUGUUGGGUUAAGUCCCGCAACGAGCGCAACCCUUGUCCUUAGUUACCAGCGGGUUAAGCCGGGAACUCUAAGGAUACUGCCAGUGACAAACUGGAGGAAGGCGGGGACGACGUCAAGUCAUCAUGGCCCUUACGACCAGGGCUACACACGUGCUACAAUGGUAGGUACAGAGGGCAGCUACACAGCGAUGUGAUGCGAAUCUCAAAAAGCCUAUCGUAGUCCAGAUUGGAGUCUGCAACUCGACUCCAUGAAGUAGGAAUCGCUAGUAAUCGCGGAUCAGAAUGCCGCGGUGAAUACGUUCCCGGGCCUUGUACACACCGCCCGUCACACCAUGGGAGUUGAUUGCACCAGAAGUGGAUAGCUUAACCUUCGGGGAGGCGU